UCCUUGCGUGUCACUGUUCUUUUUUCAUUAGGACACAUUAGUAAUUUUAUGCCUACACAUCAUUCAGCUCUCAACAAACGACCUCACCGGAGCCAAACCUCCUCUUUCCCUAUUCUCCUCGAGAAACCAGAUCUGCAAAAUUCAAACGUUCAAUUCCAAGAAAAAAAGCCCUAAUUUUCGAAUAUCUCAGAUCGAUUCGUCUUCGAAUCGACUGUUUAAGCGAUGGGCGAUUUCAAUCUCGCUCUAAUUAUUGUCGCUAUAGUGGUGUGCAUUAUUGUUUUUAUCUUUAAUGUGUACCUUCUUGUCAAUUACCAACAUCCAGAUGACAAGAACCAGGCCUAUUUCCCCAAAUUCGUCGUUGUUUUGGGUCUAUCUGUCGCCCUCAUUUCAAUAUUGAUGUUACCGGCAGACGUCGCUAACCGGCAGGCCUGUCGCCGCGCGAUAUACAAUGGCGCAUGUAAUCUCACUUUACCAAUGAAAGAUCUAUGGAUCGCUGUCUAUAUUAUCGAUGCUUUGCUUGUGUUUUUUGUUAUCCCCUUCGCGAUGUUCUAUUAUGAAGGCGACCAGGACAAGACUAUUGGCCAAAGGAUGAAAAGCUCGUUAUUGUGGGUGAUAACGACGGCAAUUGUUUGCGGUCUUUUACUUGGCAUUCUAUAUGGGCUAGUUGGAAAGGUGGACUUCACUGUCAUGCACCUCUCUUCAACCACUACCAACUUUCCUAGUAGUUGGGACUUCUCUAGCAAUCAGCCAUGCAUUGGAAGUGGCGUGCACCAGUGCUCUGCAUAUCUUGCAAGUCCUUCCUCAGAGAAAACAUGGACUAUGCGCACCACCUUUCCUGAAUAUGUUGUUGCGCUGGCUACAAUUGUUGGAUCUGUACUUUUUUCGAUAUUUGGAGGUGUUGGUAUUGCUUGUUUGCCACUGGGACUUAUAUUUUCUUUCAUCCGGCGUCCAAAGGCUGUCAUAACCCGCUCACAGUAUAUUAAGGAAGCAACUGAACUUGGCAAAAAAGCAAAAGAAUUGAAGAAAGCAGCUGAUGCACUCCAUCAAGAAGAAAGAAGUGGUUCUAAGGGUAGAAAAUGGCGUAAAAAUGUCAAGGCUGUAGAGAAGGAGUUGCUCCAGUUAGAAGAAGAUGUCAACUUGUUAGAGGAGAUGUAUCCUCAAGGAGAAAAGGCUGAGACAGCUUGGGCUUUGACUGUUCUUGGGUACCUGGCAAAACUUGUGUUGGGGAUCUUAGGGUUGAUUGUUUCAGUUGCUUGGGUGGCUCAUAUUGUUAUAUAUCUACUAAUUGAUCCACCUCUUUCUCCUUUUCUGAAUGAGGUUUUCAUCAAGUUGGAUGAUAUAUGGGGUCUUCUGGGUACUGUGGCAUUUGCAUUCUUCUGCUUCUACCUUCUGCUUGCAGUGAUAGCAGGGGCAAUGAUGCUGGGCCUGAGAUUAGUUUUCAUCACAAUUCAUCCCAUGAAGUGGGGAGCCACUCUAAUGAACUCCUUCCUUUUCAAUGUUGCACUCAUUCUUCUUUGCUCUAUUAGUGUGAUUCAGUUCUGCGCUACAGCAUUUGGCUACUAUGCUCAAGCAACUGCUGCACAGGAGAUUUUUGGCCACACAUUACAGUCUCUUCGGGGAAUUAAAUAUUUGUACAAGUAUAAUGUUUUCCAAAUCGCGUUUAUUGUUUUAGCGGGUUUGACUUUCGUGUAUUAUGCUGCCUUCGGAUGGAGAAGAAAAAAGCCAAGUGGCAGAUUCCAACUUUCUUCCUAAAGCACGUUUUUGACCUGAAGUGCAUGCACCCAUCCACUUGGAUUCCUCGAGUUUUUCUGUUGUAUCAUACCAUGGGGAGUGUUGUUUCAAAUCUGGAUGCAUAUAUAUGGCCUAGUUUUGUUUACAUUGAAAGGGUAGAGAGAUUGGCCGAGAUCAUCUGAGUAAAAUUGGGCGGCUACAGUGCGAGUGGCAUGUGCUGAUUACAGGCAAUGCAUCCUCUAAUGCCUUUCAGAUUACAGGUCUCAGGAAGCGAAUAAAUGGGUUGGGUUGUCGUACCUGAAAUAUGCUGCAGAGUGGGAUUCACUUUGUGUAUUAUCCACAAUUAAUCAUUGGAGAUUCAAUCUUUAUUUUUUUCUUAAAAAAAAAAAAAGAAGUGUUUGGAUCAACGGAAUGUGAAAUUCUUUAUAAAAGGAACUUGUUUCUAAAAUGAAUAUUGUUUCUGUUUGAUAUCUUGUAUGUUAAUUGUGGAAUUCAUUUUAAAUUUUUAGAGAUUUCACCUAUAAAAAAUAAUAAAGCUAUUUUGGUAGAAUUGGGCUCAA